UGGGGAAUUUUGCACAAUGGGGGAAACCCUGAUGCAGCGACGCCGCGUGAUUUAGAAGGCCUUCGGGUUGUAAAAAUCUUUUGUAUGGGAAGAAAAUGACAGUACCAUACGAAUAAGGACCGGCUAAUUACGUGCCAGCAGCCGCGGUAAUACGUAAGGUCCGAGCGUUGUCCGGAAUCAUUGGGCGUAAAGGGUACGUAGGCGGAUAAGCAAGUUAGAAGUGAAAUCCUAUAGCUCAACUAUAGUAAGCUUUUAAAACUGCUCAUCUUGAGGUAUGGAAGGGAAAGUGGAAUUCCUAGUGUAGCGGUGAAAUGCGCAGAUAUUAGGAGGAAUACCGGUGGCGAAGGCGACUUUCUGGCCAUAAACUGACGCUGAGGUACGAAAGCGUGGGUAGCAAACAGGAUUAGAUACCCUGGUAGUCCACGCCGUAACGAUGAGUGUUAGGUGUCUGGAAUAAUCUGGGUGCCGCAGCUAACGCAAUAAACACUCCGCCUGGGGAGUACGCACGCAAGUGUG
rnacentral:rRNA from 1 species